UACAAGGUAGGUAUAACAAUACCUACCUUGAAGAGGUUGUGAUUUCAUGAGCCAGUGUAUAUAAAACACUAGGUACCACAAGUCUCUGAUACAAUUACCAUUUUUCAAACACCUACUAUCAACUAUUAAACUGGGGGAGGACUGUUAGCAGACCUGUUACUGAGGAGACUAUGUUGUAGCUCUAAUGAAAUCCCAAGAAGAUCCAAAUCUGGUCAUCAAUCAUUGUCCCUGGAUAGGAUUCAAGAAUUUGGCUGUGCUUUGUGCUCUACUAAGACUCAUUGAGGACUCCAAGAUAUCAAGACACCAAAAGCCCACAGAAAGCCCCUCAGUUGGGCAGUGAUCGAAGAUGAUGGGAGCUCACCCAUGUAGUGGGCAGCAAUGACCCAGGUGUUUAGAAGUGUAUAUGCCUCUGCUGGUGGGUCAGUACCAGAGGGUGCCCCAGGACUGUUCAGGGCUGCAUCUACUUCUCUCUCCUACAGUCUUACAGAAGCUUUCUUUCUUUCUUUCUUUUUUUUUUUCUUAAAGAUUUUAUUUAUUUAUUUGAGAGAGAAUGAGAGACAGAGAGCACGAGAGGGAAGAGGGUCAGAGGGAGAAGCAGACCCCCCGCCGAGCAGGGAGCCCGAUGCGGGACUCGAUCCCAGGACUCCAGGAUCAUGACCUGAGCCGAAGGCAGUCGCCUAACCAACUGAGCCACCCAGGCGCCCUUACAGAAGCUUUCAGCAACAGCAUGCCAUGCUCCCAUUUUGCCACACAGAAAGACAUUUCCCAGACAUGCUGCCCUUUUCUAUUUGGUUACUCAAAGUGACAGUUAAAUCAUGCCUUGGAAGUCUCAGGGGUAUUUUUUUUUUUUUUUAAGUCCUGUGAAUGUGAACCAUGAAUGUGAAUGUCAGUACGAGCUCUGAGAUCAGUCUACUCAUGUCAAAAGAUGGGAUAAUACAACCUACUUGGUAUUAACUCCUGCUUAUAUUAAUGCACUUACAGUAAGGACUCAGUGAAUAAUGGCUCUGUUUUUAUUACUGUGAUUAUCUUCUGUCUUCUCCCCCCAUACCUCCAUCUUCUCCUUCCAUACUCUACUUUCAGUUUGGGUUUCAAGAAGUUUCCAGGAAGGGGUGUGGAAUGUUGGGACCAGCUGUCUUGUGGAAGCUGUAUUUAUCCUGCCCCCCAUCUCCACCCAUCCAUCUCUGUUGCAUUGAGUUAGCCCAGUUUUCUUCCUGUGUGCCUGGAAGAAAUCAGAUCUUGCUAUCCAUAAGGUUGGUUGCUACCAUUGCACGAGCUGGCAAGAGUAUGUCCUUAUGAGACCUUGAGGGAUGGGCUUCUAGGGCAAGAAGGAAACGAGCAGACCAUUGGCUUGGGUACACAUAGGGCUUCUCUGGGCUGUGGGAAGAACUCUCCUAAAACAAUAUGUCAAUUUUUUUGGGGGGGGGCUCCGGGGGAGAUCCUAUUACUAUCAAAAACUAGUCCUCUUGUUGACCCUCUGGUCUACCUUCCUUUCUUCUCGAAAGCUGGGGAUAUCCUGUUGGCUUGGGGGUGCAGCUCAGUUUGGGGCUCCCUAACUAAGAGCUCAGGUCUCAGUCCCAUUUGUUGACUCACAGCCAGAGUUCACUCAGUUUUUGCCCCAUGCCCUCUACUUGCCAUUACCUCCUGUUCUGGUUGGGUCACCAUUCCUUUCCUCCUUUCCUGCCCUCCACACCCCUCUGCCUUUUUAAGGAUAUUAUGAGGCCAAGUUUCAGUGGAUACAAUGGUCACAUGUAUGUUUUCCAUAUUUCAUGAUUGCUAUCACUUAAAUAUAUCAAUCUACUAUCAGUCAGCUCCAUCCCCUCUGCUGGUAGAAAUAACAACUGUAAAAACAAUUUCACAGAAAAACAGGAGGAGAGGAAUGUGGCCAGUCCCUGCCAGCAGGAUAGUUACUUUGGUGGUAGUGGAAAGCUGCGUCCUGCCCUGAACUGUCCUGUUCUUGUGUUCUGUUGAUGACGAUUUUCAUGGAACAUGCCGACUGGCUUGGCCAGGUUCAGAAAGCAGCCCAUCUAAUAAAUGGAAACUCCAGACAGGAAGUUUGAGAACCUGGCCCUGAUUUCUGCACAGAUAUGAUUAUUACUUUUUUCACUGUACCCAAAAGGCCUUUCCUGUCCAAAAAGUUUCAUUGUAGUGGCUGAGGUUAUUUCAGAUUUGGGUUGCUCUGGCCAUCAUUCAUUCUCCCCUACCAUUAGAAGGGCUACUGGCUGUGUCCUUCGACCAUCUUGGACCUUUCUGGAUGUCUGCCUAAUUUUUGGGUGUUUUCACUUCUCUUUGGACCUUCACCACAGAUGAUCUUACAGGUGAGAACCUUGAGAUGAAGAACCAGGCUUGGAGAAGUCUGCCCAGUCACAUUUGUAAGUGAGUUGCAGCAGUGGGAUUCAAACCCAGAACUCCGUGAUUGAUGAUCCGAAGUGAAUGGUAUUCUGCAUCCCAUUUGCUGCCCACUUGAGUCAGACCUCCUUUUUCUACAUGUUAUUUUCUAGUUAGUAUAUAGUAAUGAAGUCUUUUCUUUAAAGAUGAGCACCCAGAAGUUAAUGACUCAUGAUUGCAGGAGAAAAGAAGCAUUAAUAAUUAACAGAAGAUUACUGCCUGUGUAUAUACUUUGCCUAUCAUGGCUAAUCACUUGUUAAGAUGAACUGUUAGAGUCAAAAGCAUUAGUUUAAUAACAAAUGACAAUAUAUUUGUCUUUCCAUGUGCCUUAUGAGACCUUUAGUGACUUAUAUCUAUUUUCUUUCUCUCUCUCUCUCUCCUCCAAACACACCCCCCCACACACACACAAUCAAAAUCUAACAAUCUUUAGAAGUAGGGAUCUUGAGCCCUAGGUGAUGAACUUGCUAACCAUAAUUUCAAGAUCAGUGUGUAUGUGAGUGUGUGUGAUUGUGAAAUUAUGCAUACAUGCAUACAUACAAUUUGUAAAAUGUUGGGAUUUGAGAGUCCUUCUCUUAUCACCCUUUAGAAUAAUUUUAUAUGCACACUUUAGUCCUGAAAGCCCAUGUGUUCUCAGCACACUUACUAGCAGUGUAAUUUUCGGUAAGUCGCUCACCCUCUUAGUUUUUCUUUCUUCAUCUAUAGAGUUAACUGUGUCAUUGAAGAUGCCUUUGGCUGCAUGUAAAAGAGAAAUCAACUAAUGUGGAAACAAUGGGGAAAUGUAUUACCGCAUGAGGCAAGAGCAAAAGCUAUGGCAGCUCCAGACACAGUAUAAUCAGGGCUCUGGUUACCCCCCCCUCCGGGUGACUCUCUUGGCUUGGUAUUCUGUCUCUUGUGCCUUUGUCCUCAGAUUAGCUUCCCUCAUCAUUGCAAAAAGGCUGCAGCAGUUCCAAGCAUCAACUCCGUAUUCAACAGGAUCCAAAAGAGGGAGACUUUCUCUCAUCCUGUGUGGCUUUUAUUAAAACAAAAAGUAUUCUCACAAACAGUCCCCCUUCCCCACAAGCAGUAGGCUUUCUCCUGUGUCAUUGGCCAGAAAUGUGUCACAUACCUAUACCUAGUGGGGUCUCCUUAAUUAGCUUAGAACAAUGAAGACCCACCUCCUGGGACAGCCCCUCCAGAAGUAAUGGCCAUGAGAAAAAGGGUGGAACUGUAACAACAUUAGGGUUAAUUAGGAUGGGGAAAAGGAUUGAACCAACCAAUAUAAUAAACUCAGAGGAUUGUUUUGAAGAAUAUGUGGCAUAACAUAUGGCUUAUUGAGUGAACACAUACGAAACUCUUCAAACACUGCUUGGGACAUGGGAAGUGCUUUAUAUGUGUGUGUUUAUUGUAAUGAAUUUAUGUGUUGGAUAACUGAGUGCCUCACCAAUGAAAAUAGCAUUAUGAGUGGUGGUUUUAUUGGAGAUAAAAGAGGCAGAUGUUAAAGGUAAACAAGGGAGGAAAUUUAGUUGAUACUUGGAGGCAAAGAGGAGACCAAGUAAGCAGUUGGCCCAUAUUUGGUCAUCCUCUUUCCAUUGGGAGGAGCUAGUACAGCCUUCUAAAUAAAGGAAAAAUGCUAUUGCCCAAAGUGUUAAUGAGUUCCAGCCCCACCAGUCUCUUUCCCACAGCUAUUUUCUUUCAUUGGUUGAAAGUGGUAUUUAACAGCAGAAGUCUUUUAAAACAGCCAGAGGUUUCUUAACCAAAUAAAAGCUUUAGACUUUAUUGCUUUUCAGGGGGGUGGGGGGAGAAUGGAGGUAGAAAAUUGUGUGUUGUGUGUCUACGUAUGUAAAUUUAAAUAUCUUUUUAUGAGAUGUACACACAUUCACUUGUAAGAAACCAUGUAAAAACUAUAGCUGUCUUAGCCAAGAAAAAGGAAAAGAAAAAAAUUGGCUCUUGAAGCUUUUUAGCUAUAACUAAAAAUAAUCUUUCUGGUCCACAUUUGAUACAUUACUUGAGAAGUCGCCUCUGUAUCCUGAAUUUUAGAGUUCAUUUUCACGCUGUGUGCCUUAGGGUCCCUGUUGUAUCUGCUGGUAUUUGAUGCCAUUUGGGACUUAGGUUUUUGUCCUGGCUACUUCAUAUGGCAUUUUAAAUGUGACAGGUGACAACUGUAAAACUACUCUUCAUUUCUUUAGAAGACAGGAAGCAGCAGUUCUAAAUGUAAAAGCCCAUUUCACACUAACGCAUUGAGUUUUAUUCUCACAGCCUUGGAGAGAUUUUGGGUGUUUUCUGACUGUUGUGUUUUUCUUAAAUGCAAAGCAAAUGACUUUAAAGGAAAGGUGUCCACCUGACAGUAGAACGUGUCCUAUCAAAUCCUUCUACUUCAGGGAAGCCAAAGAAGGCAGGGAGAAAUUUUGGAGCUCUUACUCUGGUGUGAAAACCGCAGUUUCUGUUUUCAUGCUUUUUGGGCUUUUAUCAAAUUUUACUUUGAAUCUUGUCAGAAAGUAAUGCCCCAUUAUUUAUAAUCAACUGCAGGAAAUCUGAUGUUUGCCAGUUUAUCUGGUUUGGCACUUAACAUCUACAAGUCCAAAUAAUCAUCCUUUAUCAGAGGCUUACAUUUCCUGCCAGUUAGACCCCUCAAAAAGGGAUCAGGGAUAUUUCUCUGUGUUUCUGGAAUAGUCUCUUUGAAGUUGAGACUGCAGCUAGCUAUUUGGAAGCUUUGGAAGCGGGUAGUUAGAGCAAACCUGGAUCACCAGGAGAGGGCUGAAAUGGGAACUAUACUGAUUUCAGCUGAGUACUUGGGGGUGGGAGAGCAUUUGUGCGUCUACUGUUCUU